rnacentral:rRNA from 1 species
GAUGAACGCUAGCUACAGGCUUAACACAUGCAAGUCGAGGGGCAGCGGUAUCGAAAGCUUGCUUUCGGUAGCCGGCGACCGGCGCACGGGUGAGUAACGCGUAUCGAACCUGCCUCAUACUCGGGAAUAGCCUUGCGAAAGUAAGAUUAAUGCCCGGUGUUUUCAGAGUCCCGCAUGAGGCUUUGAACAAAGAUUUAUCGGUAUGAGAUGGCGAUGCGUCCCAUUAGCUUGUUGGCGGGGUAACGGCUCACCAAGGCAUCGAUGGGUAGGGGUUCUGGGAGGAAGGUCCCCCACAUUGGAAUUGAGACACGGUCCAAACUCCUACGGGAGGCAGCAGUGAGGAAUAUUGGUCAAUGGGCGGAAGCCUGAACCAGCCAAGCAGCGUGCAGGAAGACGGCCCUCCGGGUUGUAAACUGCUUUUAGUUGGGAAUAAAACGGGGCUCGUGAGCCCCCUUGCAUGUACCAUCAGAAAAAGGACCGGCUAAUUCCGUGCCAGCCGCCGCAGUAA